UUCUUUCUGCCUUGUGCGAGUGUAUGGUCUUUAUAAUCCAACACUUUAUAUAAGGGAAUUUAGCUCUGUUGAGUGGAUUGCAGACCUCCUGCUUAUGCAGAAGAAGGGAGCGAGAGACCUUCAGGCGGAUACCCACCUGCUUAACGGCGGGUUUUAUAUACCAUACAAUUCCGGCAAGGCGGUUUUUUA
rnacentral:other from 1 species